ensembl:lncRNA
AAACCUGCUUUCUACUGCACCUCACUAUAGAAACCUGCUGUCUACUGCACCUCACUAUAGAAACCUGCUGUCUACUGCACCUCACUAUAGAAACCUGCUGUCUACUGCACCUCACUAUAGAAACCUGCUGUCUACUGCACCUCACUAUUGAAACCUGCUGUCUACCGCACCUCACUAUAGAACUAUCUGCCUGUACCAGAGAUAUAGACACACAAACCUGCUGCCUGUACCAGAGAUAUAGACACACAAACUUGCUGCCUGUACCAGAGAUAUAGACACACAAACCUGCUGCCUGUACCAGAGAUAUAGACACACAAACUUGCUGCCUGUACCAGAGAUAAAGAAAUUCAGUUACUGUGUUAUUGGGCCGGUUUCCAGGACACAGAUUAAGCCUGGUCCUGAACUAAAAAGCAUGCUAAAUUUAAGAAUCUCUCUUUAAAUAGCUUUUUAGUCCAGGAAUAUAGGCUUAAUUGGUGUCUGGGAAUACAGACCCUGUGUCAUUGGGCUGGUUUCCCAGGCACAGAUUAAGCCUUGUCCUGGUCUAAUGGAGAAUUCAAUAGUCAAUGAAGAAAUACCUUUUUUAGUCCAGAACUAGGAUGAAUCUGUAUCUGGGAAACCAGCCUUUAGAGUUUGCCCCCCCCCCCAGUUACAGUGUUAUUGGGCGGAGUAUCCUAGACACAGAUAACGUCUAGUCUUUGACUAACAAAACACUAUUGGUUUAAUGUUGCUCUGGAAACCAGUUCAUACUAUGUCUCAGAGCUGAGCCCCCUCCCAGCCUAGGUUUCAGCCCUCAGUCAGACAGGGCUGGGCUGGGAUAUUACCAGUAGGAUUUCCAGGCUCUGGUAAUGAUAUCCAGAUGAGAUUUGUAUUUAGCCAUGUUCACACAUUGGUGACAUUUACAGUCUCAGAUAAUAUGGAGAAGGCCUUCAGAAAGUAUUCAUACUCCUUGACUUAUACUACGGUUUGUUGUUACAGAUACAAUUCAAAAUGGAUAUAUAUAUAUAUAUAUUUUAAAUCUCACCCAUCUACACACAAUACCCCACAAUAACAAGGUGAAAACAUGUUUCUUUUAAACAUUUUUGCAAAUGUAUUGAAAAUUAAUUUCCAAAAUCUAAUUUACAUAAGUAUUCACACCCCCUGAGUCAAUACGUGUUAGAAUCACAGUUGGCAGCGAUUACAGCUGUGACUCUUUCUGUGUAAGUCUCUAAGAGCUUUACAUACCUGGAUUGUACAAUAUUUGGCAAUUAUUAUUUUCAAAAGUCUUGCCAUAGAUGUUCAAGCCGAUUUAAGUCAAAACUGUAACUAGGCGACUCAGGAACAUUCAAUGUUGUUUUUCUGAAAGGUGAAUUUGUCUCCCAGUGUUUGUUGGUUAAGAAGUCUGAACCAGGUUUUACUCCUGUGCUGAGCUCUAUUCCAUUUAGUUUUAAUCAUCCCAAAUCCUCCCUAGUCCUUGUCGAUGACAAGUAUACCCAUAACAUGAUGCAGCCACCGCCAUCCUUGAAAAUAUGAAGAGUGGUACUCAGUGAUGUGUUGUGUUGGAUUUGACCCAAAUAUAACACUUUGUAUUCAGGACAUAAAGGUCAUUUCUGUGCCACAUUUUUUUUUUACAGUUUUCAUUUUGUGCCUUGUUGCAAACAGGAUGCAUGUUUUGGAAUAUUUUUUAUUCUGUACAGGCUUCCUUCUUUUCAUUCUAUCAUUUAGGUUAGUAUUGUGGAGUAACUACAAUGUUGUUGAUCCAUCAUCCGUUUUCUCUUAACACAGCCAUUAAACUCUGUAACUGUUUUAAAAUCACCAUUGACAUCAUGGUGAAACCUCUGAGCGGUUUCCUUCCUCCCUGGCAACUGAGUUAGGAAGGACACCUGUAUCUUUGUAGUGACUGGGUGUAUUGAUACACCAUCCAAAGUGUAAUUAAUAACCACCAUGCUCAAAGGGAUAUUCAUUGUCUGUUUUUUGUGUGUUUUCUUUGACCCAUCUACCAAUAGGUGCCGUCCCUGGUCUUUGUGGUUGAAUCUGUGUUUAAAAUUCACUGCUCGACUGAGGGACCUCACAGAUAAUUGUAUGUGUGGGGAACAGAAAUGAGAUAGUCACUCAAACAUCAGGUUAAACACUAUUAUUGCACAAAGCGUGAGUCAAUGCAACUUAUUAUGUGCCUUGUUAAGCAUAUUUUUUUUUACUCCUGAACUUAUUUAGGUCAUAACAAAGGAGUUAAAUACUUAUUGACUAGAGGCAUUUCAGAUUUGUAUUUUUUAAAAUUAAUUUGUAAAAAUGUCUAUAAACACGUUUCAUCUUUGACAUCAUGGAGUAUCGUGUGCAGGCCAGCGACACAACAUCUACACUUAACCCAUUUUUUAAUUCAGGCUGUGACCCCCCAAAAAAUGUAGAGAAAGUCUAGGGGGGAAUACUUUCUGAGGGCCCUGAAUGUCAGGAAGGUCACUGUAAAGAUCAUAUGUUUUAUUUAUUUUACCUUUAUUUAACUAGUCAGUUUAAGAACAAAUUCUUAUUUUCAAUGACGGCCUAGGAACAGUGGGUUAACUUCCUGUUCAGGGGCAGAAUGACAGAUUUGUACCUUGUCAGCUCGGGGAUUUGAACAUGAAACCUUUCGGUUACUAGUCCAACGCUCUAACCACUAGGCUACCCUGCCCUGCCCUCUAACCACCAGGGUACCCUGCCCUGCCCUCUAACCACCAGGGUACCCUACCCUGCCCUCUAACCACCAGGCUACCCUACCCUGCCCUCUAACCACCAGGCUACCCUGCCCUGCCCUCUAACCACCAGGGCACCCUACCCUGCCCUCUAACCACCAGGGUACCCUGCCCUGCCCUCUAACCACCAGGGUACCCUGCCCUGCCCUCUAACCACCAGGGUACCCUGCCCUGCCCUCUAACCACCAGGGACCCUACCCUGCCCUCUAACCACCAGGCUACCCUGCCCUGUUCAUAUAUUGUAGACACAUAGAGAAAUCACACACAAUGUUAUUGUCAGAAGGUUACAACAUAGAUUACUAGACGUGAAACAAAAACAAUAUCUAUGUACCAUAUAUGUACUGAGUAAAAAAUAAAUAUUUAGUUUGAAAUAUAUGUAUUUUGCUGUAUAAAUCAUUUUUAAAUGAAAGAAAGGACAAGAAUGGCAUCACAUUGUCUCUCAGUAACACGGUUACACAUUGUCUCUCAGUAACACGGUUACACAUUGUCUCUCAGUAACACGGUUACACAUUGUCUCUC